rnacentral:rRNA from 1 species
GCUUAACGUUGUCCUGCUAGAGAAACUAUUAGACUAGAGCGAGAUAGAGGCAAGUGGAAUUCCAUGUGUAACGGUAAAAUGCGUAAAUAUAUGGAGGAACACCAGAGGCGUAGGCGGCUUGCUGGGUCUUUACUGACGCUGAGGCACGAAAGCGUGGGGAGCAAACAGGAUUAGAUACCCUGGUAGUCCACGCCGUAAACGAUGAGUACUAAGUGUCGGGAUUACUCGGUACUGAAGUUAACACAUUAAGUACUCCGCCUGAGUAGUACGUACGCAAGUAUGAAACUUAAAGGAAUUGACGGGACUCCGCACAAGCGGUGGAUCAUGUUGUUUAAUUCGAAGAUACACGAAAAGCCUUACCAGGUCUUGACAUACUCUGCAAAGCUAUAGCAAUAUAGUGGAGGUUAUCAGGGAUACAGGUGGUGCAUGGUUGUCGUCAGCUCGUGUCGUGAGAUGUUAGGUUAAGUCCUAAAACGAGCGCAACCCUUGUC